rnacentral:tRNA from 1 species
GACCUCGUAGCUCAGCUGGAUAGAGCGACAGCCUCCUAAGCUGUAGGCCGGCGGUUCGAAUCUGCCCGGGGUCACCA